rnacentral:tRNA from 1 species
GUGGCUGUAGCUCAGUUGGUUAGAGUACCAGGUUGUGGCCCUGGGGGUCGCCGGUUCGAGCCCGGUUAGCCACCCCA